UACGUAGGCAGCAAGCGUUGUUCGGAAUUACUGGGCGUAAGGAGUGUGUAGGCGGUGCUCUAAGUCUGUUGUGAAAUCUCCCGGCUUAACCGGGAGGGUGCGGCGGAAACUGGAGUGCUUGAGGGUGGGAGAGGUAAGCGGAAUUCCUGGUGUAGCGGUGAAAUGCGUAGAUAUCAGGAGGAACACCUGUGGUGUAGACAGCUUACUGGACCACCUCUGACGCUGAGACACGAAAGCGUGGGUAGCAAACAGG
rnacentral:rRNA from 1 species